CUCAUGGCCACAUCACGAUCACCGAAGUUAAGCGAGGUCGAGAUUGGUCUGUACCAAGCUGGGUGAACUCUUGAGAAUAUCUGGUGCUGUAA